rnacentral:lncRNA from 1 species
UCUGAUUUUUUAAACUCAAGUUUGGGAAAGUUACCUUCCUUUACCUGGCGGAGUAUUUGGGCGGCCAAGGGCCUACUUUUGAAGGGGUUGGGCUGGAGGAUUGGAAAUGGAAAACAUGUUUCCAUUUGGGAAGACGCAUGGAUCCCUGGGAAUGAGGAUUUCAGAAUUCAGCAUACAUUUGCUAAUAUGAGUUUAUUAAAAGUUACUGAUUUAAUUGAGGCAAAUGAUAGAAAGUGGAAAUCUGAGCUGAUUUGUAAUACUUUUUCGGAGCAGGAAGCGGAGCGGAUUCUAUGCAUUCCUCUGUCUUUGUAUGAGCAUGAUGACCUUGUUAUUUGGCGGGGUGAGCCGACUGGGGAAUAUUCGGGGCGGAGUGGCCAUAAACUUCUCUUACACAAUGAUCAGAAUGACUUACAGACAAAUUACAAACAAUUUUACAAAAAGCUAUGGAACUUAGAUCUACCCUCUAAAAUAAAGAUUACAGCUUGGCGUGUUUCACACAAUUUUCUGCCUACUUUCAGUAACCUACAAUAUCGGCGACUGAGGGGAUCUGAUACUUGUAGUUGGUGCCAAAAUGGUGUGGAGUCGAGGGAACAUUUGUUCCAUGAAUGUCCUAUAGCAAAGGAAACAUGGGAGCAUUUCGGCAUCAGUUGGCCCAUUCCAGAAGAAAAUAAUGAUUUUAGGGACUGGUUAAAGCUUAUUUUCCAAUCUUUUUGCAGAGUUAUAGUAUGUACUCUAUGGGCGAUUUGGACAUCCAGAAAUAAAUUUAUCCACAAAGGUGAAGUUAAAACGGGUUCACAAAUUGUUGACUUUGUUAAAAAUUUUAUGCUGGAAUGGGAUGGGCUGAAAUCGUCAGUACCUGUUGAACAUCUUUGUGUGGGUGGAUAGGUUGCUCCAAUCGGAAUGAGGCUGAAAAUUAAUUUUGAUGCUGCUUUCAAUAAACAUAAGAAGGAAUCGUGCUCUGGUUUAGUUAUCCGGAAUAAUAAAGCACAGAUUAUUGUUUCUAAAAUAGUUAUGAACUCGAACAUACCAUCCGCCUUUGCUGCUGAAGCUGUGGCGUGUCUUCAGGGUUUGCAACUUGGUUUACAUCUUGGCUUGAGAGAGGUGGAGGUCGAGGGUGACUCUCGGACGGUUAUACGUAAGCUGCAAGUGGAGCAGGAGGAUAGAUCAGAGAUUUCUAUGUUUAUAAAUGACUCUAAAAAAUUAAGCUUGGGUUUCCAGACUUGUGUUUUCCUUUUUACAAACAGGGACGUUAACAAGGUUGCGCAUCUCAUUGCAUCAGAAGGAAUAAGAAGGAGAGAGUCAACUUAUACGGUAAAUCAGAUACUUUCUGUCGUGGCGGAGAUAGUGGCUGAGGAUCAAAAGAGGACAGAGAGCAUGAGGGAACUGAGGAGUCGGAGGGUAGGAGAUGAAGAAAAAAUGUUUCUUUGAAUCUAUCUGUGGAAGAUCUUUCAGGAAGGAGGGUGUAAUCAAUGAAGUUUGUUGGUUUUUGAAAUGCUUUUGGAUGUUAGAAUAACUUAGAACUAUAUUUUGAAACAGUCAGUGCUUUCAAGAAUUAGUCCAUCAAUCUAUUCAAGGUAAAUUUACUCGUUUUAAUCUUCUUUUGGUAUGACAAAAUUUGUUGACAUAAGUUUGGUUUAAUGAUUACUACAUUUGAAUGCUUUUCAGAGCAUGUUAGAAUAACUUAGAACUAUAUUUUUAUGCAAUUCUAAGCAUAAGUUUCCAUAUUGAACAAAUAUGCUUUGAAACAUGGUUGUUAUUUUGCUUUGAUCCAUGCAUUUCAAUGUUUAAGUCUUGAGACAUGGACUCUUUGUUUUGAGACAUUCAAAGUUUGUAGCCAAAAUUGGGUACAAGGGAAGCAAGUCUCGAGACUUAACCUUUGUGUCUCAAAACGAAGGACCAUGUAUCGAUACAUUGGCUAAUUUAUCGAAACAUAACUUUUAGAUGUUAUAGUUUGGGACCCUAAUAAAUAUUGUAAGGCCUAUUUGAACUUGAUUUUUGUUUGUUAUGACUUGUAGUUGCUUGAAAUAAUUUAUACUUUGAAUAAAACUCAAGUUUAAGUUUAUACUCUAUGUUUGAUUGAUCGUUGUCAUUCCGACAACAAAUGUACUAGUCUUUAUUCAAUAAGGCCUCUAGACCAAAUAAUUGGUAUUACAAUAUAUACCGAAAACACUUUGUUAUUUAUUGGACAAUGUGAUUUUUUUUACUAAGCCAUUAAAUGUUUUAUUAAAAAAAGCUUUGACAAUAGGAAAAGAAGGAGAUUCAAAGAAAAAAAAGCCUCAAAAAACACGACACUCAUAUUCGAAUACUCCUGAAGACCCAGCAAGAGAACACCCGAAAAUACCUCACAAUUCAUAAAACAAACAUCAAAAUGACCUCAAAGUAGAAAACAAGACCGCCAAGCUUAAUGGAAACAACAAACUCAACAAUCAGAAACAAAGACUUAGACCAUCAUUGUAGUAAGACACCCCAACCAUCUCAUACAUACCAGAAUUGCAAUCGAACCUAGUUAACACUAUAUUAAAAAAAAAGACCACAGAGAACCUAGUUAACACUCCAAAUUUAAUCUUCUCUCUUCAAUUUCUACUGAGUCCUUAUCAAAAGUCUCUCGACUUCUAUGUAAUCGAUAACAAGAUCAACAAAACAAACCAUUGUCGAUAAGCACCUCCAGACAAAGGACCUUAUUAAAAAAAAACACCGUAAAGAACUUAGCUAACACUCCAAAUUUAAUCUUCUCUCUUCAAUUCCAACUAGGUCCUUAUUAAAAAUCUCUCAACAUCUAUAUAAUCGGUAGAAAGAUCAAUAAAAUAAACCAUUAUCAAUAAGCACCUCAAGACAAAACACAUUAUUAAAAAAAGGGCAAAGAACCUAACUAACACUCCAAAUUUAAUCUUCUCUUUUCAAAUUCCAAUGAUCCUAAAACCCAAUUUUUUCCCCAAGCCUUCAUGCCUUCAUCACUUCCUAAAACUUGAAAUUAUUGUUACAAUUACUUGCAACAUCAUCUUUCAAUUAGGUUUUUCAUAACAAUUUUAAGGAAUAGAUGAAACAAGUAAUAAUAAUACAUGAUCAUUAGUCUUUUGAUCUUCAAUCCCAUGGUUGUCACCGUAUUGGUACAUGCAUUGAGCAUUCCUUACUACGUUCAAUGCAAUGUGUUUAAAUAGAAUAGAUAAAGGGGGAUUGAGACAUUAGAUAUUCUCUAUUAAUCCUUUUCCAUACUGCACCAAUUAACUUCUUUACAUGCUCACGAGCUUCCACUUCAGAAGAACUAGUUUCAUGCAUGUAACAUUGGAUUGAUUUGGGGACAUCACCUCUUUUAAGUUCAUCUUAAUCAACCAAAUCCAUGCGAAGAACAAGUAUUAUAUAUGCAAAUAAAACAAAAAAAAUGAACUAAGGAGUGUAUAUAUAUUGCAUACCAUUGAUGUCCCAAGAUCAUCAGCAAGUCGAAAA